CAGAUUCAAAGGUUCACAACAGAAUGCGGAUAUCUUGCAUUUCAAGCCAUCGCAACAUGACCAUGUAAAGCAACUAGGCAAAACAUGAAAAUAAGAAUUGAAUGAGAAGCUAUGGCAUUGAAUCCUAACCUUCUUGCUCCGCAGAAAUGGACUGAUAUUGAACAUUAGUCUUCUCAUUCUUCACAUUAAUAACUCUCAGUCAACGUUGAAAAAUAAAAAAUGAACAGUGUACAUAUAACUACAAUUUCAGCAUCAAAACACAACAUAUUCGUUAAUCAACUACCAUGGCUUCAGAACCUCCAUUAGCAUCCUCUGAUCCAUUCUUCUGUUCUUCUGCAGCAAUGCGCAUCUCCUCAAUCAGAUUCUUUUGAUCUUCCUCUCUAAAGUAGUCUGUAGAUCCUCCACCUAUUUAUACAUAGGAACCGAAAGUUUUUCAAGAUGAGUACUUAUGC
rnacentral:lncRNA from 1 species